rnacentral:SRP_RNA from 1 species
GCCAGGCAUGGUGACACGUGCUUGUAGUCCCAGCUACUUGGGAGGCUGAGGCAGGAGGAUUGCUUGAGCCCAGGAGUUUGAGGCUGCAGUGAGCUAUGAUCACGCCACUGCACUCCAGCCUGGGCAACAGAGUGGGACCCUGUCUCAA